AAGCAGCAUUGUUGCAACAACUGCUCUUAAUGUUGUAAAAGCUUUUACUGUCUAAAAGUGAUUUUAUUGGUUAGAUUCUUGCAUGAUUAUCAUACAAUACAUCUGAAUUGGAUUCUGCCACACAUUCACCAUGACUUUAAAAUGAGGCUGUUGUUCUUCUCAGUUCUGUACACUGUGCACACAUCUGUCUCCUCUGACGCUGAAGAUGUUUUUUAGGCAGGCGUAGCGGACAGUUUUUACUGUCUUUACUCAGGAGAUAGGAAAGAGAGAGAGAGAGAGAGAGACAGAGAGAGAGAGAGACGAGAGAGAGAGAGAGAGAGGAAUGACAUGUGGGAAAGGAGCCACAGGUUAAUGAAUCUGUUGAUAUCAGAGAUGCUGGAGCUCUUUUUUGUAGGCUCAUAUUUGGAUAGCUUCAUAUGAAAUCAAAACUGAAAUAUGAUCCAAACGACACUCUUCUUCUGAUUCGUCGAACAGCUGGUUUGAUCUUCACUCAGCCUGUGUGAGGUGUGCUCACCUUUCUGUUCAGAGCUCUCCUCUCUCGCUCCAGGAAGCUGAAAAGACUUUCCUCUGGGAGUGUGUUACCUGUCCUGGUUUGGAGUUUCUCUUGGUCUUAAAUCUGCGUUGGUUCAAACAGACGAGGAAUCUGUGCUGGUCUUCUGUUCCAGGGAGAAUGAGACCUGGAUCAGCUGCUGUGUUUCUGAUUCUCCUGAUGAACGUCUCCACAGGUCAAACUCUGACAUGUUAUAGAGACGAGUAUGAGACACCUGGUGGAUGCUGUCCUAUGUGUCCAGCUGGUAAGAUCAACAUGAAUGUUAAAGAAUCUUGAAUUCAAGUUUAUCAGGUUAGAUUAACAUU